CACGCAACUCUGCCACUGCUUCCCAGGUUCCACUAUAGAUGGAACUCGGCUCUCUCCAAAACCGCCCAUAACACCACACUACCGUUUCCAGGAUUACUCCGCCGAAACGGGAGUGCCAAGCAGGCGGGCUUUUUCAAUUAAGGGGCCCCAAACGUAGGCCAUCGCCCACACCCUGAGAUUGAGAGUCUCUGGCUCCAUCGACUGAGAUGCCUGGGCUACUGCUUCAGAUCCUUUGCGUGAAACACCCCAAUACGUGAGCCUUGCAACGUCUCCAGCUCGUACAGACUGUUGCCCAUACUCCGGAUCACUCGGCACUUGACGUAUUUUGGGCUGAACUUCGCGUUGAUGUUGUCUUUAAAUUUGCUCAACACGAAAUUCCGCUUAUAUAUCUCCUGACCCGGCUUCAUGAGAGUUUCCUCGGACCUCAUCUCGGACCAUUUCCAUCUUGUCACUCCUCGCCAAGGGGGACAUUUGUGCAUCAUUUAGGGCGCCCAGUCUGCGUGCCAAUUUAUAAUCUCGGCCGCUAGUAAACAUGUGUUGCCCAAACAACUCAAAGUAUGGCGACGUCCCGAUACCCGUGUGUAUAACGCUCCUAGCCACACACUGGAUCUCCGUCAGCUUCUCGUCCCAGCGCGUGUGAUCCUCACUAGCGUAUGUCCUUAUUGCUGCCAGUACAGUCUGGUUCACUCGUUCGGCCGCGUUCGCCUGCGGUGCAUAGUUCCCCGACUUCAGGCACGCCAAACUGCGCGAGACCUCGGCGUGCAAGAAUCGGAUCACGGCCGAAGACGUCGCCUUAGGCAAAGCCAUCAACCAGACAUAUCUGGACAUGUGAUCGAGGACUAUUAGUAUGACUACAUUGCCACUUCGAGUCCUCGGAUAUGGACCCAGGAAAUCCAGGUGUCACAAUCAGCCACAUAUGCCUUCACCUGCACGGUCAUCCGGGGCCAAUAAUAGAACUGUCGCAGCCGUCCCAGUGUCCUCGCGAUUCCUCCAUGCAUUGCCACAUCGCUGUCGUGAGCCUGUUGGAUCAGUGUGCUCGUCAGGGCUUCCGGGAUCCAUAGUGUUCGGGCCAGCCGCUGAAGAAUAACCGUAACUUUAACAUUAGUAUUGUAUGAGCA